AGCGAACGUUAGCGGCGCGCCUAACACAUGCAAGUCGCACGAGAAAGGGCUUCGGCCCCGGUAAAGUGGCGCACGGGUGAGUAACACGUGGGCAACCUGCCCAACCCUGGGGGAUAACCUGCCGAAAGGCGGGCUAAUACCGCGUACGAGGGCUCGACUUCGGUCGGGUUCUGAAAGCAGGCCGCUGUAUACAAGCUUUGGGGGUUGGAUGGGCCCGCGCUCCAUCAGCUAGUUGGUGAGGUAACGGCUCACCAAGGCUACGACGGAUAGCUGGUCUGAGAGGAUGAUCAGCCACACUGGAACUGAGACACGGUCCAGACUCCUACGGGAGGCAGCAGUGGGGAAUCUUGCGCAAUGGACGAAAGUCUGACGCAGCGACGCCGCGUGGGUGACGAAGGCCUUCGGGUUGUAAAGCCCUGUGGGUGAGACGAACAGCUGGGGUUCGAAUAGGGCCUUGGCCUGACGGUAUCACCUUAGCAAGCACCGGCUAACUCUGUGCCAGCAGCCGCGGUAAAAC
rnacentral:rRNA from 1 species